rnacentral:lncRNA from 1 species
CUUUAACCACUUUUUUCUUGACAGCAUGCAGCUUGAUGUAAGAAACGUGCGCCCGUUUACUGAUGACUUGGCUUUGGAGAGAGGAGAGGAUCUCCCGGCCGACUCUCCCUGUGUCUCCUGUGUCCACACCUCAUCUCAGCUGGACCGAGGGUCUGCUCUAGUGGGACCUGAA